rnacentral:rRNA from 1 species
UACGUAGGGUGCGAGCGUUAAUCGGAAUUACUGGGCGUAAAGCGUGCGCAGGCGGUUUUGUAAGCCAGAUGUGAAAUCCCCGGGCUUAACCUGGGAAUGGCAUUUGGGACUGCAAGGCUUGAGUGCGGCAGAGGAGACUGGAAUUCCUGGUGUAGCAGUGAAAUGCGUAGAUAUCAGGAGGAAUACCGAUGGCGAAGGCAGGUCUCUGGGCUGACACUGACGCUCAUGCACGAAAGCGUGGGGAGCAAACAGGAUUAGACUA